UGGUGGCUGUUCCUCCUAUUGCCUAGAGUGCUGGCACUAGGAUUUUAGGUCAUCAUAAAUUAAAAUUUGAUUUUCUUCACUCAGAGAAUAUUGAGAUAAUGGGAUUAUCUUGUUUGUUCUCUGAAAUUUGCGGAAUCUGACACUC
rnacentral:snoRNA from 1 species